rnacentral:rRNA from 1 species
GACGAACGCUGGCGGCGUGCUUAACACAUGCAAGUCGAACGGAAAGGCCCUGCUUUUGUGGGGUGCUCGAGUGGCGAACGGGUGAGUAACACGUGAGUAACCUGCCCUUGACUUUGGGAUAACUUCAGGAAACUGGGGCUAAUACCGGAUAGGAGCUCCUGCUGCAUGGUGGGGGUUGGAAAGUUUCGGCGGUUGGGGAUGGACUCGCGGCUUAUCAGCUUGUUGGUGGGGUAGUGGCUUACCAAGGCUUUGACGGGUAGCCGGCCUGAGAGGGUGACCGGCCACAUUGGGACUGAGAUACGGCCCAAACGCCUACGGGAGGCAGCAGUGGGGAAUAUUGCACAAUGGGCGGAAGCCUGAUGCAGCAACGCCGCGUGCGGGAUGACGGCCUUCGGGUUGUAAACCGCUUUCGCCUGUGACGAAGCGUGAGUGACGGUAAUGGGUAAAGAAGCACCGGCUAACUACGUG